rnacentral:rRNA from 1 species
GACGAACGCUGGCGGCGUGCUUAACACAUGCAAGUCGAACGGAAAGGCCCUGCUUUUGUGGGGUGCUCGAGUGGCGAACGGGUGAGUAACACGUGAGUAACCUGCCCUUGACUUUGGGAUAACUUCAGGAAACUGGGGCUAAUACCGGAUAGGAGCUCCUGCUGCAUGGUGGGGGUUGGAAAGUUUCGGCGGUUGGGGAUGGACUCGCGGCUUAUCAGCUUGUUGGUGGGGUAGUGGCUUACCAAGGCUUUGACGGGUAGCCGGCCUGAGAGGGUGACCGGCCACAUUGGGCCUGAGAUACGGACCAGACUCCUACGGGAGGCAGCAGUGGGGAAUAUUGCACAAUGGGCGGAAGCCUGAUGCAGCAACGCCGCGUGCGGGAUGACGGACUUCGGGUUGUAAACCGCUUUCGCCUGUGACGAAGCGUGAGUGACGGUAAUGGGUAAAGAAGCACCGGCUAACUACGUG